UACGUAGGGUGCAAGCGUUGUCCGGAAUUAUUGGGCGUAAAGAGCUCGUAGGCGGUCUGUCGCGUCUGCUGUGAAAACUCAGGGCUUAACCCUGAGCUUGCAGUGGGUACGGGCAGACUAGAGUGCGGUAGGGGAGACUGGAAUUCCUGGUGUAGCGGUGAAAUGCGCAGAUAUCAGGAGGAACACCGGUGGCGAAAGCAGCUCUCUGGGACGGUACUGACGCUGAGACGCGAAAGCGUGGGGAGCGAACAGG
rnacentral:rRNA from 1 species